rnacentral:lncRNA from 1 species
GGUGACAAAACAGUGAUAAAUAGCGGAAAUUUUGACACCGAAUCAUGCUCGUUUGAAAGAUUCCAACCCUUUUCUUUUUCUACAUCUCAGGGAAACACCUGUAUUUACAAAAAAACAAUGUGUAGUGAAGAAGGACAAUUGGUUUAUAACAAUGGAACUAGUGUUUACAAUAGAAAAUGUGCAUGCGAUUAUAGAAAUAAUUUUAGUUUUGUGUCGACAAAAAGA